AGAGCGAACGCUGGCGGCAGGCCUAACACAUGCAAGUCGAGCGCCCGUAGCAAUACGGGAGCGGCAGACGGGAUAGUAACACGUGGGAACGCGCCCUUCGGUUCGGAAUAACUCAGGGAAACUUGAGCUAAUACCGGAUACGCCCUUACGGGGAAAGAUUUAUUGCCGAAGGAACGGCCCGCGUCCGAUUAGCUAGUUGGUGAGGUAAUGGCUCACCAAGGCGACGAUCGGUAGCUGGUCUGAGAGGAUGACCAGCAUCACUGGGACUGAGACACGGCCCAGACUCCUACGGGAGGUAGCAGUGGGGAAUAUUGGACAAUGGGCGCAAGCCUGAUCCAGCCAUGCCGCGUGGAUGAUGAAGGCCUUAGGGUUGUAAAGUCCUUUUAACGGGGAAGAUAAUGACGGUACCCGCAGAAGAAGCCCCGGCUAACUUCGUGCCAGCAGCCGC
rnacentral:rRNA from 1 species